rnacentral:sRNA from 12 species
CCGCAUACUGUAACUAAAGACUGAAAGCGUGGGUGACAAGCGCAUCGGCUUGUUUAAGGUCAAGGAUUUGCGGUUAUAUACGAU